rnacentral:rRNA from 1 species
AUGAACGCUAGCUACAGGCUUAACACAUGCAAGUCGAGGGGCAUCAGGAAGAAAGCUUGCUUUCUUUGCUGGCGACCGGCGCACGGGUGAGUAACACGUAUCCAACCUGCCCUUUACUCGGGGAUAGCCUUUCGAAAGAAAGAUUAAUACCCGAUAGCAUAAUGAUUCCGCAUGGUUUCAUUAUUAAAGGAUUCCGGUAAAGGAUGGGGAUGCGUUCCAUUAGGUUGUUGGUGAGGUAACGGCUCACCAAGCCUUCGAUGGAUAGGGGUUCUGAGAGGAAGGUCCCCCACAUUGGAACUGAGACACGGUCCAAACUCCUACGGGAGGCAGCAGUGAGGAAUAUUGGUCAAUGGGCGCUAGCCUGAACCAGCCAAGUAGCGUGAAGGAUGAAGGCUCUAUGGGUCGUAAACUUCUUUUAUAUAAGAAUAAAGUGCAGUAUGUAUACUGUUUUGUAUGUAUUAUAUGAAUAAGGAUCGGCUAACUCCGUGCCAGCAGCCGCGGUAAUACGGAGGAUCCGAGCGUUAUCCGGAUUUAUUGGGUUUAAAGGGAGCGUAGGUGGACUGGUAAGUCAGUUGUGAAAGUUUGCGGCUCAACCGUAAAAUUGCAGUUGAUACUGUCAGUCUUGAGUACAGUAGAGGUGGGCGGAAUUCGUGGUGUAGCGGUGAAAUGCUUAGAUAUCACGAAGAACUCCGAUUGCGAAGGCAGCUCACUGGACUGCAACUGACACUGAUGCUCGAAAGUGUGGGUAUCAAACAGGAUUAGAUACCCUGGUAGUCCACACAGUAAACGAUGAAUACUCGCUGUUUGCGAUAUACAGUAAGCGGCCAAGCGAAAGCAUUAAGUAUUCCACCUGGGGAGUACGCCGGCAACGGUGAAACUCAAAGGAAUUGACGGGGGCCCGCACAAGCGGAGGAACAUGUGGUUUAAUUCGAUGAUACGCGAGGAACCUUACCCGGGCUUGAAUUGCAACUGAAUGAUGUGGAGACAUGUCAGCCGCAAGGCAGUUGUGAAGGUGCUGCAUGGUUGUCGUCAGCUCGUGCCGUGAGGUGUCGGCUUAAGUGCCAUAACGAGCGCAACCCUUAUCUUCAGUUACUAACAGGUCAUGCUGAGGACUCUGGAGAGACUGCCGUCGUAAGAUGUGAGGAAGGUGGGGAUGACGUCAAAUCAGCACGGCCCUUACGUCCGGGGCUACACACGUGUUACAAUGGGGGGUACAGAAGGCAGCUAGCGGGUGACCGUAUGCUAAUCCCAAAAUCCUCUCUCAGUUCGGAUCGAAGUCUGCAACCCGACUUCGUGAAGCUGGAUUCGCUAGUAAUCGCGCAUCAGCCACGGCGCGGUGAAUACGUUCCCGGGCCUUGUACACACCGCCCGUCAAGCCAUGGGAGCCGGGGGUACCUGAAGUACGUAACCGCAAGGAUCGUCCUAGGGUAAAACUGGUGACUGGGGCU